rnacentral:rRNA from 1 species
UACGUAGGGUGCAAGCGUUGUCCGGAAUUACUGGGCGUAAAGAGCUCGUAGGUGGUUUGUCGCGUUGUUCGUGAAAACUCACAGCUCAACUGUGGGCGUGCGGGCGAUACGGGCAGACUUGAGUACUGCAGGGGAGACUGGAAUUCCUGGUGUAGCGGUGGAAUGCGCAGAUAUCAGGAGGAACACCGGUGGCGAAGGCGGGUCUCUGGGCAGUAAACUGACGCUGGAGGCGCGGAAAGCUAGGGGAGCAAACGGG